rnacentral:tRNA from 1 species
GCCUCGGUGGCUCCGUGGCGAAAGCGGCGGCCUACGAUCCCCAUGUGGCGGGUUCGAAUCCCGACCGAGGCG